AUACGUAGGGGGCGAGCGUUGUCCGGAAUUACUGGGCGUAAAGCGCGCGUAGGCGGCUUGGUAAGUCGGUUGUGGAAGCCCCGGGCUCAACUCGGGAAUGGCGACCGAAACUGCCAGGCUCGAGUGCGGUAGGGGAUGCUGGAAUUCCUGGUGUAGCGGUGAAAUGCAUAGAUAUCAGGAGGAACACCGGUGGCGAAGGCGGGCAUCUGGGCCGUGACUGACGCUGAGGCGCGAAAGCUAGGGGAGCAAACCGGAUUAGAUACCCGGGUAGUCCUAGCCCUAAACGAUGGAUACUUGAUGUGGGCGAUUUAAGUUCGUCCGUGUCGAAGCUAACGCGCUAAGUAUCCCGCCUGGGGAGUACGGUCGCAAGGCUGAA
rnacentral:rRNA from 1 species